rnacentral:rRNA from 1 species
GACGAACGCUGGCGGCGUGCUUCAUACAUGCAAGUCGAACGCGAAUCGGUAGCUUGCUACCGAGGAAAGUGGCGGACGGGUGAGUAAUGUGUAGAGAAUCUGCCCUAGAGCGGGGGACAACAGCUGGAAACGGUUGCUAAUACCCCAUAUGAGCGUAUCUGAAAUGGUAUUCCUUGAAAACUCCGGUGCUCUAGGAUGAGUCUGCAUCUGAUUAGCUAGUUGGGGUGUAAUGGACCACCAAGGCGACGAUCAGUAGCUGGUUUGAGAGGAUGAUCCAGUCACAAUGGGACUGAGACACGGCCCAU